UACGGAGGGUGCAAACGUUGCUCGGAAUCAUUUGGGGCGUAAAGCGCACGUAGGUGGCUUGUUAAGUCGGGUGUUGAAAUCCCUGGGCUCAACCCAGGAAGUGCACUCGAAACUGGCGAGCUUGAGUACUGAAGAGGGUCGCGGAAUUCCCGGUGUAGAGGUGAAAUUCGUAGAUAUCGGGAGGAACACCAGUGGCGAAGGCGGGCAUCUGGGCCAACACUGACGCUGAGGCGGCGAAAGCU
rnacentral:rRNA from 1 species